rnacentral:rRNA from 1 species
GACGAACGCUGGCGGCGUGCUUAACACAUGCAAGUCGAACGGAAAGGCCCUGCUUGCAGGGUACUCGAGUGGCGAACGGGUGAGUAACACGUGGGUGAUCUGCCCUGCACUUCGGGAUAAGCCUGGGUAACUGGGUCUAAUACCGGAUAGGAGCCAUUUUUAUUGUGAUGGUUGGAAAGUUUUUUCGGUGUAGGAUGAGCUCGCGGCCUACCAGCUUGUUGGUGGGGUAAUGGCCUACCAAGGCGGCGACGGGUAGCCGGCCUGAGAGGGUGGACGGCCACAUUGGGACUGAGAUACGGCCCAGACGCCUACGGGAGGCAGCAGUGGGGAAGAUUGCACAAUGGGCGCAAGCCUGAUGCAGCGACGCCGCGGGGGGGAUGACGGCCUUCGGGUUGUAAACUCCUUUCGCUAGGGACGAAGCUUUUUGUGACGGUACCUAGAUAAGAAGCACCGGCUAACUACGUG